UACGAAAGGGGCUAGCGUUGUUCGGAAUUACUGGGCGUAAAGCGCACGUAGGCGGCCUUGCACGUUGGGGGUGAAAUCCCGGGGCUCAACUCCGGAACUGCCUUCAAGACUGCAAAGCUAGAGGACGCGAGAGGUUAGCGGAAUUCCGAGUGUAGAGGUGAAAUUCGUAGAUAUUCGGAAGAACACCAGUGGCGAAGGCGGCUAACUGGCGCGUUUCUGACGCUGAGGUGCGAAAGCGUGGGGAGCAAACACG
rnacentral:rRNA from 1 species